AGAGUUUGAUCCUGGCUCAGAUUGAACGCUGGCGGCAUGCCUUACACAUGCAAGUCGAACGGCAGCGCGGACUUCGGUCUGGCGGCGAGUGGCGAACGGGUGAGUAAUGCAUCGGAACGUACCUUUCAGUGGGGGAUAACGUAGCGAAAGUUACGCUAAUACCGCAUAUUCUGUGAGCAGGAAAGCAGGGGAUCGCAAGACCUUGCGCUGAUGGAGCGGCCGAUGUCAGAUUAGCUAGUUGGUGGGGUAAAGGCUCACCAAGGCGACGAUCUGUAGCGGGUCUUAGAGGAUGAUCCGCCACACUGGAACUGAGACACGGUCCAGACUCCUACGGGAGGCAGCAGUGGGGAAUUUUGGACAAUGGGCGCAAGCCUGAUCCAGCCAUGCCGCGUGAGUGAAGAAGGCCUUCGGGUUGUAAAGCUCUUUCGGCCGGGAAAAAAUCGCUUGGGUUAAUACCCUGAGUGGAUGAUGGUACCGGAAUAAGAAGCACCGGCUAACUACGUGCCAGCAGCCGCGGUAAUACGUAGGGUGCGAGCGUUAAUCGGAAUUACUGGGCGUAAAGCGUGCGCAGGCGGUUUUGUAAGACAGGCGUGAAAUCCCCGGGCUCAACCUGGGAACUGCGUUUGUGACUGCAAGGCUAGAGUAUGGCAGAGGGGGGUGGAAUUCCACGUGUAGCAGUGAAAUGCGUAGAGAUGUGGAGGAACACCAAUGGCGAAGGCAGCCCCCUGGGCCAAUACUGACGCUCAUGCACGAAAGCGUGGUGAGCAAACAGGAUUAGAUACCCUGGUAGUCCACGCCCUAAACGAUGUCAACUAGGUGUUGGGUGGGUAAAACCAUUUGGUACCGUAGCUAACGCGUGAAGUUGACCGCCUGGGGAGUACGGCCGCAAGGUUAAAACUCAAAGGAAUUGACGGGGACCCGCACAAGCGGUGGAUGAUGUGGAUUAAUUCGAUGCAACGCGAAAAACCUUACCUACCCUUGACAUGCCAGGAACUUGCCAGAGAUGGCUUGGUGCCCGAAAGGGAGCCUGGACACAGGUGCUGCAUGGCUGUCGUCAGCUCGUGUCGUGAGAUGUUGGGUUAAGUCCCGCAACGAGCGCAACCCUUGUCGUUAAUUGCCAUCAUUUAGUUGGGCACUUUAACGAGACUGCCGGUGACAAACCGGAGGAAGGUGGGGAUGACGUCAAGUCCUCAUGGCCCUUAUGGGUAGGGCUUCACACGUCAUACAAUGGUCGGUACAAAGGGUUGCCAAGCCGCGAGGCGGAGCCAAUCCCAGAAAGCCGAUCGUAGUCCGGAUCGCAGGCUGCAACUCGCC
rnacentral:rRNA from 1 species